rnacentral:lncRNA from 1 species
CCUCAUUUAAUUUCGCAACACUGUGGGAAAUGCAUGAUUACAGCUAUGCUAACUUUCUGAAGCACCUUCUUAUAAUCUCAAGGAUUUAGUCCCCUAAACUUCUUUGCAAAUGUUGCGGGGCUUGAUAUCGUGGAUUUUACUGUAAAACUUCUAGACAAGGGUGGUGAAUUCAACAAAUACUUACACUUUGGCUUUUCAGAUACCUCAAUAAAGUGAGAGAAGUGGGCUUUUCAUAUGACUUGUGUUGACAAGAACAAUAAUAUUUUGGAACUGCAGUGCAGAUGUAGAAAUUGACUGACUCAGCCCAAGAAAGCUGAAUCCUAAACUGGUAGAAGGUAAAGCUGAGUGAGUUGGUCAUACAGUCCCCAAAAGGCCCAGGAAUUAGUGACAUUCAGGAUCUCUAAAACUGGAGAUUUUCUGGAGACCAUAAAACAUACUGUACCUGGGCUGAAGACAGAAAUCAUGGUUGAAGUUGGACCACACUGAAAACAGGAGGCCGAAGUGGAAGUUUAUAUGUACUUUCCUGAAGGCAGGAUUUGAGAGACAAGAGUGAAGAGACCAUCAGUUUGGGAGAGCUGCACCAUGGUGGAAGAGCAGACUGGAAAAUAAGAAAACUAUACACAUCUUUUGGGCCCUGGUGCAUAUUUUACCUACUUAAUGAUUUUGUCAAAGGCUGCACUGAUAAUUACAAAGGAUUACUAGGGAAAAUGAUGAUAGGUGAAAAGAGUUUUCUUUUCCUUAAAUAUUUUCACCAACUGUUUCCAAAGACUGAAAAGAGAAGUUGAAGUCAAACUUUAUUUUUUCCAGAGCGAUUUCUUUCAAUAUCAAAAGACAGUGUUAUCAUGUGCUAUCAUAUUCAAUGUCACAGUGUCCUUGUACUGUAGGUUCAGGAAGCAUUAUUACACCAAUUUUGGGAAUGGGGAAAUCAAUCACUGAGAGACCAAUUUACUUGUCUAAGUUUAUACAGGGAGCAUGGAUUGAGGUUAUGAUUAAGAGUCAAUGACCUACUAAGUAUUUCAGAUGUAUCAGAUGCUUUUGCAACAU